AUGCAUAUUUUAAUACAUAUUUAUGAAGACACCUUGGUGGUUACAGAUUGCGCGUGAGUAUACAUUCAAGGUGCGUCAUCGAAGUCCAGUGAUACAAUCAAGUCUGCGUCCACGUCACUGUCAGAACAUGAGGUAACAAUGUGACAUGACACAAGGUAACAAUGUGACAUGACACAAGGUAACACUGUGACAUAACACAAAGUAACACCAUAGCAUCACUCAAAGAAAAACUAUGACAUGACACAAGGUAACACUAUGACACAACAGAAGGUAACACUAUGACAUGACACAAGGUAACACAAUUAGGGUAACAUUAUGGCAAAACACAAGGUACAUGUACAACUAUGACACGGCACAGGUAACAUUAUGAUACGACACAGGUAAAACUAUGACACGACACAGUUAAAACUAUGACACGACACAGGUAAUACAAUGAUACGACACAGGUAACAUUAUGACACGACACAAGUAAAACUAUGACACGACACAGGUAAAAUUAUGACACGACACGGGUAAAACUAUGACACGACACAAGUAAAACUAUGACACGACACAGGUAAAACUAUGACACGACACAGGUAAAACUAUGACACGACACAGGUAAUACAAUGAUACGACACAGGUAACAUUAU